rnacentral:rRNA from 1 species
AGCGAACGCUGGCGGCAGGCCUAACACAUGCAAGUCGAACGAACCUUUCGGGGUUAGUGGCGGACGGGUGAGUAACACGUGGGAACGUGCCUUUAGGUUCGGAAUAACUCAGGGAAACUUGUGCUAGUACCGAAUGUGCCCUUCGGGGGAAAGAUUUAUCGCCUUUAGAGCGGCCCGCGUCUGAUUAGCUAGUUGGUUGAGGUAAUGGCUCACCAAGGCGACGAUCAGUAGCUGGUCUGAGAGGAUGAUCAGCCACAUUGGGACUGAGACACGGCCCAAACUCCUACGGGAGGCAGCAGUGGGGAAUCUUGCGCAAUGGGCGAAAGCCUGACGCAGCCAUGCCGCGUGAAUGAUGAAGGUCUUAGGAUUGUAAAAUUCUUUCACCGGGGACGAUAAUGACGGUACCCGGAGAAGAAGCCCCGGCUAACUUCGUG